CUUUGUUUUGUACCAAAGGUAGUGUCUUUGCAGGAAAUCUGUAUUUGUUCUCCCAACCUCCAAAUGGAGGGAGCAGAUGAAAUGAAGGCUCCCAAGAUAUGGGGAGGGUCACUUGCUAGAGGGUGGGCGGAACCAAUGAGAAGUCUGAUUUGCUGUGGUUCAAUGACUUCUUAAAACUCUUUGCAAGGCUGACCUAUUUCUAAUUCCUUGAGCCUAUAGUCUGAAAGGUCAUUAAUCUGGGCUCGGCUCAUGAUGCGGAGGCUUAAGACUUCCAUUUCUUAAAUGCCAAAGGUGUGUCAGAUUGCCUUUCAAAAUGUUGGUAUCUCUAUUCAGGUGUGCAGUGGUUAGUAGCAAGCAGUUUCUUUUCUCAUGGAAACAUUCACCUCACCAAGGAACCACCUGUGUUGUUUUUUGGGCCCUUUGGAUCUUCGCCACGGAUUAAAGAGACAAACCAAUCUCCUAUGCAUGCUUUCUCUUUGUCAAGUCCAGGGACAAACAGGAAGAUGGUCGAGGUGGCACAUCCCUGCUUCUUCCUGGAGCACACUCAAUGAGGUCCAUUAUUCUUCUUCAGCAACAAGCCAUUUCAGAACCCUUGAGUGACAUCAUCUCCUCAUCCUCCCCUUAUGAUGAACAGUGUCCUCAAACAAGCCAAGAAGUAAUAUAACUUUAUAUUUACAAGACUGUGUGACAAAAUUACUGCAUGAGACUGGAGCUGUAUGAAACGAUUAAAAGAAAUACAGAUGGCAUAAUGUUUUUUUUCCCCCUUCCAACAGAUUUGUGCCAGAUGUGUGAAUAUUGAUAAUUUCUCUGGGGCUCAACUCAAGGCACAAUAUAGGUUUCUGUUUGAUGGGGGAAUGAGAGAGUGAAAAUCCAUCCCAGCGAUGGUAUUUACAGGAAAUGUUUUGCCUCUUCUUCCAAAUCUGUCAAAGCAGAACCAGAAAUCCCAAAUUUCCAAAUGAGCCUCUGAGUCACCCUUUGUUCUGGACCCAAUUUUUAUCUCCCUAGUAAUUGACAGACUGGAAAAUUCAUUUGUGAAAACAUGUGGUAGAGCUCUAAAAGUAGAGCCUCUCAACUAGCUAAGCCUGUCUUUGUGCAUCAAUUUAGAGCAUG
rnacentral:lncRNA from 12 species